AGAGUUUGAUCAUGGCUCAGGAUGAACGCUAGCUACAGGCUUAACACAUGCAAGUCGAGGGGAAACGACAUCGAAAGCUUGCUUUUGAUGGGCGUCGACCGGCGCACGGGUGAGUAACGCGUAUCCAACCUGCCCAUCACUUGGGGAUAACCUUGCGAAAGUAAGACUAAUACCCAAUGAUAUCUCUAGAAGGCAUCUGAAAGAGAUUAAAGAUUUAUCGGUGAUAGAUGGGGAUGCGUCUGAUUAGCUUGUUGGCGGGGUAACGGCCACCAAAGCAACGAUCAGUAGGGGUCUGAGAGGAAGGUCCCCANAUUGGAACUGAGACACGGUCCAAACUCCUACGGGAGGCA
rnacentral:rRNA from 1 species